CGAGGCCGCGUGCGUUCGCCCGCCCGGCCCCGCUCCUUACCUUGCCUACUGCACCGUUUGUUGCUUCCUGGCGGCGGACUGCCCGCCGCCAGGGACGUUGAUACAACCCUGUAUAGAAGCAUUGAAGCUCUGAGAAAACGCGAAAUCGUACAACUUUCAACAAUGGAUCUCUUGGUUCUGGCAUCGAUGAAGAACGCAGCGAAAUGCGAUAAGUAGUGUGAAUUGCAGAAUUCAGUGAAUCAUCGAAUCUUUGAACGCACAUUGCGCCCCUUGGCAUUCCAUGGGGCAUGCCUGUUCGAGCGUCAUCUAAACCCUCAAGCCCCCGGCUUGGUGUUGGGUGCCUGUCCCCGCCCCCCGCGCGGACUCACCCCAAAUGCAUUGGCAGCCGCCUCUCGGCUUCUUGCGCAGCACAGUGCGCAGCGAGGCGAGGUGAGGCGUGCGUCCAGCAAGCAACCACCCAAGUUUGACCUCGGAUCAGGUAGGGAUACCCGCUGAACUUAAGCAUAUCAAUAAGCGGAGGAAAAGAAACCAACUGGGAUUGCCCUAGUAACGGCGAGUGAAGCGGCAACAGCUCAAAUUUGAAAUCUGGCCUCCUUCGGUGGUCCGAGUUGUAAUUUGCAGAGGGUGCUUUGGCGUUGGCAGCGGUCUAAGUUCCUUGGAACAGGACGUCACAGAGGGUGAGAAUCCCGUACGUGGUCGCCCGCCUCCGCCGUGUAAAGCCCCUUCGACGAGUCGAGUUGUUUGGGAAUGCAGCUCUAAAUGGGAGGUAAAUUUCUUCUAAAGCUAAAUACCGGCCAGAGACCGAUAGCGCACAAGUAGAGUGAUCGAAAGAUGAAAAGCACUUUGGAAAGAGAGUCAAAAAGCACGUGAAAUUGUUGAAAGGGAAGCGCUUGCAGCCAGACUUGCCCGUAGUUGCUCACCCGGACUUUUGCCCGGGGCACUCUUCUGCGGGCAGGCCAGCAUCAGUUUGGGCGACCGGAUAACGGCCUCUGUCACGUACCAUCCCUCGGGAUGGCCUUAUAGGGGAGGCGUAAUGCGGCCAGCCUGGACUGA
rnacentral:rRNA from 1 species